UACGUAGGGUGCGAGCGUUAAUCGGAAUUACUGGGCGUAAAGCGUGCGCAGGCGGUUCGUUGUGUCUGAUGUGAAAGCCCCGGGCUCAACCUGGGAAUGGCAUUGGAAACUGGCGAGCUAGAGUGUGGCAGAGGGGGGUGGAAUUCCGCGUGUAGCGGUGAAAUGCGCAGAUAUCAGGAGGAACACCGAUGGCGAAGGCAGGUCUCUGGGCCAUAACUGACGCUGAGAAGCGAAAGCAUGGGGAGCGAACAGG
rnacentral:rRNA from 1 species